rnacentral:tRNA from 1 species
GCGCUCCUAGCCCGGCUGGAUAGAGCAUCAGAUUUCGAUUCCGAGGGUAGGGAGUUCGAACCUCUCGGAGCGCGCCA